rnacentral:rRNA from 1 species
CAGUAGCCGCGGUAAUACGUAGGUGGCAAGCGUUGUCCGGAAUUAUUGGGCGUAAAGGGCUCGCAGGCGGUUUCUUAAGUCUGAUGUGAAAGCCCCCGGCUCAACCGGGGAGGGUCAUUGGAAACUGGGAAACUUGAGUGCAGAAGAGGAGAGUGGAAUUCCACGUGUAGCGGUGAAAUGCGUAGAGAUGUGGAGGAACACCAGUGGCGAAGACGACUCUCUGGUCUGUAACUGACGCUGAGGAGCGAAAGCGUGGGGAGCGAACAGGAUUAGAUACCCCAGUAGUCCCUGUCUCUUAUAU